rnacentral:rRNA from 1 species
GAUGAACGCUGGCGGCGUGCCUAAUACAUGCAAGUCGAGCGAACAGACGAGGAGCUUGCUCCUCUGACGUUAGCGGCGGACGGGUGAGUAACACGUGGAUAACCUACCUACAAGACUGGGAUAACUUCGGGAAACCGGAGCUAAUACCGGAUAAUAUAUUGAACCGCAUGGUUCAAUAGUGAAAGACGGUUUUGCUGUCACUUAUAGAUGGAUCCGCGCCGCAUUAGCUAGUUGGUAAGGUAACGGCUUACCAAGGCAACGAUGCGUAGCCGACCUGAGAGGGUGAUCGGCCACACUGGAACUGAGACACGGUCCAGACUCCUACGGGAGGCAGCAGUAGGGAAUCUUCCGCAAUGGGCGAAAGCUUGACGGAGCAACGCCGCGUGAGUGAUGAAGGUCUUCGGAUCGUAAAACUCUGUUAUUAGGGAAGAACAAAUGUGUAAGUAACUAUGCACGUCUUGACGGUACCUAAUCAGAAAGCCACGGCUAACUACGUG